GUGAGGAAUUUUCCGCAAUGGGCGAAAGCCUGACGGAGCAAUGCCGCGUGAAGGAUGAAGGCCUAUGGGUUGUAAACUUCUUUUCUCAGAAAAGAAUUAUGACGGUAUCUGAGGAAUAAGCAUCGGCUAACUCUGUGCCAGCAGCCGCGGUAAGACAGAGGAUGCAAGCGUUAUCCGGAAUGAUUGGGCGUAAAGCGUCUGUAGGUUGUUUAAAAAGUAUUCUGUCAAAGAUUAGGGCUUAACCCUAGAUAGGCAGAAUAAACUUUUAAGCUAGAGUUUGGUAGAGGCAGAGGGAAUUCCCGGUGGAACGGGGAAAUGCGUAGAUAUCGGGAGGAACACCAAAGGCGAAGGCACUCUGCUGGGCCAAUACUAACACUGAGAGACGAAAGCGAGGGGAGCAAAUGGGAUUAGAUACCCCAGUAGUCC
rnacentral:rRNA from 1 species